rnacentral:tRNA from 1 species
ACUCAAUUGGCUCAGUUGGAAGAGUAUGUGACUCUUAAACUCAGGGUUCUGAGUUCAAACCCCAUGUUGGGUA